rnacentral:rRNA from 1 species
GAUGAACGCUGGCGGCGUGCCUAUUACAUGCAAGUCGAGCGAAUGGAUUAAGAGCUUGCUCUUAUGAAGUUAGCGGCGGACGGGUGAGUAACACGUGGGUAACCUGCCCAUAAGACUGGGAUAACUCCGGGAAACCGGGGCGAAUACCGGAUAACAUUUUGAACCGCAUGGUUCGAAAUUGAAAGGCGGCGUCGGCUGUCACUUAUGGAUCGACCCGCGUCGCAUUAGCUAGUUGGUGAGGUAACGGCUCACCAAGGCAACGAUGCGUAGCCGACCUGAGAGGGUGAUCGGCCACACUGGGACUGAGACACGGCCCAGACUCCUACGGGAGGCAGCAGUAGGGAAUCUUCCGCAAUGGAUGAAAGUCUGACGGAGCAACGCCGCGUGAGUGAUGAAGGCUUUCGGGUCGUAAAACUCUGUUGUUAGGGAAGAACAAGUGCUAGUUGAAUAAGCUGGCACCUUGACGGUACCUAACCAGAAAGCCACGGCUAACUACGUGCCAGCCGCCGCCGUAA